UGGGGAAUAUUGGGCAAUGGGCGCAAGCCUGACCCAGCAACGCCGCGUGAAGGAAGAAGGCUUUCGGGUUGUAAACUUCUUUUCUCAGGGACGAAGCAAGUGACGGUACCUGAGGAAUAAGCCACGGCUAACUACGUGCCAGCAGCCGCGGUAAUACGUAGGUGGCAAGCGUUAUCCGGAUUUACUGGGUGUAAAGGGCGUGUAGGCGGGAAAGCAAGUCAGAUGUGAAAACCAUGGGCUCAACCCAUGGCCUGCAUUUGAAACUGUUUUUGCUUGAGUACUGGAGAGGCAGACGGAAUUCCUAGUGUAGCGGUGAAAUGCGUAGAUAUUAGGAGGAACACCAGUGGCGAAGGCGGUCUGCUGGACAGCAACUGACGCUGAGGCGCGAAAGCGUGGGGAGCAAACAGGAUUAGAUACC
rnacentral:rRNA from 1 species